rnacentral:rRNA from 1 species
AGUUGAUCCUGGCUUAGGACGAACGCUGGCGGCACGCCUAACACAUGCAAGUCGAACGGAGAUUGAGAGCUUGCUCUUAAAUCUAGUGGCGGACGGGUGAGUAACACGUAAGCAACCUGCCUCUGAGAGAGGGAUAGCUUCUGGAAACGGAUGGUAAUACCUCAUAACAUUACAUGACCGCAUGAUCGUGUAAUCAAAGAUUUAUCACUCAGAGAUGGGCUCGCGUCUGAUUAGCUAGUUGGUGAGGUAACGGCCCACCAAGGCGACGAUCAGUAGCCGGACUGAGAGGUUGAACGGCCACAUUGGGACUGAGACACGGCCCAGACUCCUACGGGAGGCAGCAGUGAGGGAUAUUGCACAAUGGAGGAAACUCUGAUGCAGCGAUGCCGCGUGGAGGAAGAAGGUUUUCGGAUUGUAAACUCCUGUUUCGAGGGACGAUAAUGACGGUACCUCGGGAGGAAGCUCCGGCUAACUACGUGCCAGCCGCGGC